UAAGGAAUAUUGGUCAAUGGACGCAAGUCUGAACCAGCCAUGCCGCGUGAAGGAUGAAGGUCCUCUGGAUUGUAAACUUCUUUUAUCUGGGACGAAAACGGGAUUUUUAUCUCAAUUGACGGUACCAGAGGAAUAAGCACCGGCUAACUCCGUGCCAGCAGCCGCGGUAAUACGGAGGGUGCGAGCGUUAUCCGGAUUUACUGGGUUUAAAGGGUGCGUAGGUGGGCUUAUAAGUCAGUGGUGAAAUCUCCGAGCUUAACUUGGAAACUGCCGUUGAUACUAUAGGGCUUUAAUUAUCUGGAGGUAAGCGGAAUAUGUCAUGUAGCGGUUAAAUGCUUAGAUAUGACAUAGAACACCAAUUGCGAAGGCAGCUUACUACAUAUAAAUUGACGCUGAGGCACGAAAGCGUGGGGAUCAAACA
rnacentral:rRNA from 1 species